rnacentral:rRNA from 1 species
AUUGAACGCUGGCGGCACGCCUAACACAUGCAAGUCGAGCGGCAGCGCGAUAUGUAGCAAUACAUAUUGGCGGCGAGCGGCGGACGGGUGAGGAACACGUAGGAACCUACCCUCGAGUGGGGGAUAACCAAGGGAAACUUUGGCUAAUACCGCAUGAUUUCGAGAGAGCAAAGCUGCCGCAAGGUGGCGCUCGAGGAGGGGCCUGCGUCCGAUUAGCUAGUUGGUGAGGUAAGAGCUCACCAAGGCGAUGAUCGGUAACUGGUCUGAGAGGACGACCAGUCACACUGGGACUAAGACACGGCCCAGACUCCUACGGGAGGCAGCAGUGGGGAAUAUUGGACAAUGGGGGCAACCCUGAUCCAGCGAUGCCGCGUGAGUGAAGAAGGCCUUCGGGUCGUAAAGCUCUUUAGGUUGGGAAGAAGGGUGAUGGAGGAAAUGCUAUCACUUUGACGGUACCGACAGAAUAAGCACCGGCAAACUCUGUGCCAGCCGCCGCGGUAAAAC